UAGGUAGCGCCUCGUGAAUUCAUCUCCGGGGGUAGAGCACUGUUUCGGCAAGGGGGUCAUCCCGACUUACCAACCCGAUGCAAACUGCGAAUACCGGAGAAUGUUAUCACGGGAGACACACGGCGGGUGCUAACGUCCGUCGUGAAGAGGGAAACAACCCAGACCGCCAGCUAAGGUCCCAAAGUCAUGGUUAAGUGGGAAACGAUGUGGGAAGGCCCAGACAGCCAGGAUGUUGGCUUAGAAGCAGCCAUCAUUUAAAGAAAGCGUAAUAGCUCACUGGUCGAGUCGGCCUGCGCGGAAGAUGUAACGGGGCUAAACCAUGCACCGAAGCUGCGGCAGCGACGCUUAUGCGUUGUUGGGUAGGGGAGCGUUCUGUAAGCCUGCGAAGGUGUGCUGUGAGG
rnacentral:rRNA from 1 species